rnacentral:rRNA from 1 species
UGGGGAAUAUUGCACAAUGGGCGAAAGCCUGAUGCAGCAACGCCGCGUGAGUGAUGAAGGUCUUCGGAUUGUAAAGCUCUGUCUUUUGGGAUGAUAAUGACGGUACCAAAGGAGGAAGCCACGGCUAACUACGUGCCAGCAGCCGCGGUAAUACGUAGGUGGCGAGCGUUGUCCGGAUUUACUGGGCGUAAAGGGUGCGUAGGCGGAUGUUUAAGUGAGAUGUGAAAUACCCGGGCUUAACUUGGGUGCUGCAUUUCAAACUGGAUAUCUAGAGUGCAGGAGAGGAGAAUGGAAUUCCUAGUGUAGCGGUGAAAUGCGUAGAGAUUAGGAAGAACACCAGUGGCGAAGGCGAUUCUCUGGACUGUAACUGACGCUGAGGCACGAAAGCGUGGGUAGCAAACAGGAUUAGAUACCCUGGUAGUCCACGCCGUAAACGAUGAGUACUAGGUGUAGGAGGUAUCGACCCCUUCUGUGCCGCAGUAAACACAUUAAGUACUCCGCCUGGGAAGUACGAUCGCAAGAUUAAAAC